GGAAGGUGUGGAUGUGAUCACAAGCGUCUUCAGAGCUGUGACCUCUGCCUGCAGCAUGUCGAUCUUUCCCCAUGCCUCCUUCAGCUGCUUCUCUGAUGCCGCCUGUUUUGUGUUUGCUUCUCUCACCAUCUUGUGUGCCUCCUCGAACAGGCUAGCUGUUAACUCUUCUAGUUCCUGCUCCAGUUGUUCUCUGACUUUUGACAGUCUCUCACAUUCUUUGUCCUUCAGCUUCAGCUCCUUCUGUGCUUUGUGCAGCUCUUCCUUCAGGAACUCAGAGCCCUUCUCCCGGAUCUCCACCGAAG
rnacentral:lncRNA from 1 species